CACACCGAAGAACACCAAUCGUCCGUUCUACGUGUGCAGCAGCGAGAAAGGGAUCAAAUGCUUCUUCGUUUGGGUCGAUGUUUUGCUCCAGACGCUGAUGAAUCAGCUGCUAGAUGAGCACGAAGAAUGGUUGCCCAUCUUGCCACAGACGACACGGGUCGCCGCGAUAGCUAGUGCAGAAGAGACGCAGGGCGGAUCACGCAUUGACAGAGAGGUAGCUUUUGAGCUAAGGUGGAUGAACCAGAAGAUUAGAGAGCUCGAAGAUCAAUCAAAAAUUUGGAAUUACAUUUGUGCAUUUGUAGGUGGUAUUGUCAUCGCACUAGGUUUAAUGUUGACAUUGUAUGGAAAGGCAUGAAUUUGUGAUGAA